AGUGAACGCUGGCGGUAGGCCUAACACAUGCAAGUCGAACGGUAGCACAGGAGAGCUUGCUCUCUGGGUGGCGAGUGGCGGACGGGUGAGGAAUACAUCGGAAUCUACUUUUUCGUGGGGGAUAACGUAGGGAAACUUACGCUAAUACCGCAUACGACCUACGGGUGAAAGCAGGGGACCUUCGGGCCUUGCGCGAUUGAAUGAGCCGAUGUCGGAUUAGCUAGUUGGCGGGGUAAAGGCCCACCAAGGCGACGAUCCGUAGCUGGUCUGAGAGGAUGAUCAGCCACAAUGGAGCUGAGACACGGGCCAGACUCCUACGGGAGGCAGCAGUGGGGAAUAUUGGCCAAUGGGCGCAAGCCUGAUCCAGCCAUACCGCGUGGGUGAAGAAGGCCGUCGGGUUGUAAAGCCCUUUUGUUGGGAAAGAAAUCCAGCUGGCUAAUACCCGGUUGGGAUGACGGUACCCAAAGAAUAAGCACCGGCUAACUUCGUGCCAGCAGCCGCAGUAA
rnacentral:rRNA from 1 species